rnacentral:rRNA from 1 species
UACGAAGGGUGCAAGCGUUAAUCGGAAUUACUGGGCGUAAAGCGUGCGUAGGCGGAUAAGUAAGUCAGUGGUGAAAUCUCCGAGCUUAACUCGGAAACUGCCGUUGAUACUAUUUGUCUUGAAUAUUGUGGAGGUAAGCGGAAUAUGUCAUGUAGCGGUGAAAUGCUUAGAUAUGACAUAGAACACCAAUUGCGAAGGCAGCUUACUACACAAUGAUUGACGCUGAGGCACGAAAGCGUGGGGAUCAAACAGG